rnacentral:rRNA from 1 species
AGUGAACGCUGGCGGUAGGCCUAACACAUGCAAGUCGAACGGCAGCGCAGUAAGAGCUUGCUCUUACGGGUGGCGAGUGGCGGACGGGUGAGGAAUACAUCGGAACCUACUUUUUCGUGGGGGAUAACGUAGGGAAACUUACGCUAAUACCGCAUACGACCUACGGGUGAAAGCAGGGGAUCUUCGGACCUUGCGCGAUUGAAUGAGCCGAUGUCGGAUUAGCUAGUUGGCGGGGUAAAGGCCCACCAAGGCGACGAUCCGUAGCUGGUCUGAGAGGAUGAUCAGCCACACUGGAACUGAGACACGGUCCAGACUCCUACGGGAGGCAGCAGUGGGGAAUAUUGGACAAUGGGCGCAGGCCUGAUCCAGCCAUACCGCGUGGGUGAAGAAGGCCUUCGGGUUGUAAAGCCCUUUUGUUGGGAAAGAAAAGCAGCAGGUUAAUACCCCGCUGUUCUGACGGUACCCAAAGAAUAAGCACCGGCUAACUUCGUG